AAGGAAUUCAGCCCAUUGUAGCCCAGUUGAAGCCGACGCGCACGCCACCCAUCCCACCCUGCUUCGCAUUUCUCAAAAAAAAAAAAAAUCUGCUUCGCUUCGUCUCGGCGGAGGAGCGUCAGUGCCGCCGCGCCCAGAUCGCUCCCGCGGCUCCGCUCCCUCUCUUCGCUUCUCUCUGCCACCAGUGGCGUUCUGUUUCGAUCCUAUCCUAUGGCGCCACCUCCCCCCACUCUCUUCCCCAAAAUGUCGCCAUCUCCCGCUAGGGUUUCGCUGAAGCUUGGCUACAUCAUUUUAUAUCAGGUCAACUUGAGCAACAGAACAAGAAUGAAAAUGACUGAAGUAGGGGAACCAAAGCGUUUCAUGCACCGAUCUGAUACAUGAACCCACAGUAUUGGUUUUGAUUCUGCCUGAUAAUGUGUGGGUGUAAUAACACUUGUCAAUGUGCCCCAUACAUGUAUUGAUUAUCAGGCGCCGCAAGACAUGGGCCGUGGGUGCCAAAUGAUCGAAGAGACCA